ACGUACACUCCUGCGGGAGGCAGCAGUGAGGAAUAUUGGACAAUGGGUGGAAGCCUGAUCCAGCCAUCCCGCGUGCAGGAAGACGGCCCUAUGGGUUGUAAACUGCUUUUAUCUGGGGAUAAACCUACUUACGUGUAAGUAGCUGAAGGUACCAGAAGAAUAAGCACCGGCUAACUCCGUGCUAGCAGCCGCGGUAAUACGGAGGGUGCAAGCGUUAUCCGGAUUUAUUGGGUUUAAAGGGUCCGUAGGCGGACUGAUAAGUCAGUGGUGAAAUCCGACAGCUUAACUGUCGAACUGCCAUUGAUACUGUUAGUCUGUAGUAAGGUUGAAGUGGCUGGAAUAAGUAGUGUAGCGGUGAAAUGCAUAGAUAUUACUUAGAACACCAAUUGCGAAGGCAGGUCACUAAGUCUUAACUGACGCUGAUGGACGAAAGCGUGGGGAGCGAACAGUAUUAGAAACCCGGGUAGUCCCA
rnacentral:rRNA from 1 species